AGGAGCAGGAAGGAAAGAGGCCCUAGUUUGUAGAUACUUUCUGGGUGAAGGGUGAUGUUUUGGUGCUACAGGUCAGUAGCCAGCCUAUAGCUCUUCCCUAAGAGGAGGGAGUUUAGAACUGACAAGCCCAGAGGAGUGGGGAGAGUCAGCGAGCAGGAGAAGGCUCAGGGGAAAAGCACUAAGCCAUAGGUAGUGUGGGCUGUGGCUGCUGACCAGGGAGUCCCUGAGCUAGUAGCUGGAGAUGAGGGCAGGUCUGGACUCCUAUACUGGCUGCUGAUGAAAUGGCACCAGCAGGGCAGUGAGCAGGCAGACUGCCUGAGCCCAUUUGUUGUGGGACUUCAUUAUUCUGCAAGGGGGGGGGGGGACACAUGAUGACCUAGCCAGAGGGCUAAGUUGUGAAGAGGAGGCUGCAGCUCCUGGAGUGAGACGGGUCUGCAAGGUGAGAGGAUGACGAGAGAGAUGCCACUGGAGGAGGGUCCGAUGUCUGGCAGGAGCUAAUCCCCAGGAUGUCCAGGAGGUGGUGCUCCUAACAGAAAAUCAGGCAGAAGCAAGAUCAGACGAGUGUGCACAUUUGCCAUCUUGCACUGUUGUUGCAACAUUGACUCCAUUGUCAGUGAUGAUCACAUCAGGGGAAUGACCUUGUGAGAUCUCUGUAUUUUCCAGCAGCUUCUGAACAGUAGCAAUGUGCCAUAUAAAAAGAGAAGCUUGCUCACAUUUAUGGACAGAUGAAACAGCACUUUGGAAGGGUAUUCUUUACAAGAACAGUUCAAGGCUCCAUAGGAAGCAGGAAGACAAGAAAUUGCACAAAAGAACCCCUCCUUCUGAAUGCUGCAGACUUGAGGGGUUUGGUUAGCUGAGCAGAGAAGAGAAAGAUGUAUUUUAAAACAUCCUCUCUCUCUCUUCAUAAAUAUAGGUGAAUUGCUGGUGGAUCUCAUCCCCACUAGCACUUAGUGACCAAUUCCUACUGCAAGCAAACAGAUGAUCAACUCAAACUCUUAUAAUCAACUUGGGAGUAAGAAACAUUGCAAAAUUCAAACAUUCCAGUUAAUAGAUGGAUAAUCACCUCAAGAUUUGUUUGAUGCCUAUGGAGUGUGAUGACAAUGGUUAUUGUGAAGACUGGCAUGAACGUCAUUCCAAAAUAUAGUUGAGGGAGAACAAAAGGCAAGGCCUCUUUUAGAGGCAAAUUAGAAAAUGUCUGUGCUAAAGCACCUUCCAGAGCAAGGCUCCUGGCUUUUUAAAAAAAUUAUUUCCAUUUGAAUGUUAGUUAUGUAUUAAAAUGCUAUUUUGGGCCAUAUUUAUGGGAGGUAUUUUAUUUGUGAGGGGUAGUCUCCUCUAUUGCCCUGGUCUUCUAUUCUGGCAUAUUGCCUUGUUGUAUAAUUGUGUUUUGUUUUGUGAAAGCUCUCAGAAGCCUUAGGGCAUUGGUUGCCAAAGAAAAUAAAUAUAGUUAUUAGUAGCAAUGGAAGUGGUUCCGAAUCUUAUACUGCACUUUCCUCCCAGGAUAGCUUUUGAGACUUAGAAUAUAAAAAGUGAUCUCUUUAUUAGGAGUAGUAUACAAAAGGAUUUAAUAUAACCAGGAGACAGUUUAUGAGUCUAAAUUAAACCCUAGUGUAGUCUAUUCUAGUUAACAGAGUUGCAUCAUGGAUGAAUUUGGCCCAAUAUUAUUACUAAAAGUUCAGCAACUUUUAGUUUCAUUUUUUUUAAAGUAAAAAUAUACAUCAAAUCUUUCUGGAAAAGUAGAGCAAUUGUUAGAAAAAUGUUGGGACUUUUAAGGCAAAUCUUCUUAGUAAGAGGAAAACAUAUUUAAAUACCUAUUGCAAUAAAUUAAAAUGUGUAGGUCUUAGUCAUAUUCCUGGGUGCAAUAUAUGAAGCAGUAACCAGCAAAUCAAUCUUUGGGUAGUGAUUGACUAAUCUUACUAGAAAAGUAGGUAUUUAAUUUGACAUAUUCUCAAUGCCAUGAUUUACAGAAUCUGAGACAAUUACUGACAAACGCUAGCAUAUUAUAAUGUUUGUAUGAG